rnacentral:rRNA from 1 species
CAAGACCUUAUGCUUUUGGAGCGGCCGAUGUCUGAUUAGCUAGUUGGUAGGGUAAUGGCUUACCAAGGCGACGAUCAGUAGUUGGUCUGAGAGGACGACCAGCCACACUGGGACUGAGACACGGCCCAGACUCCUACGGGAGGCAGCAGUGGGGAAUUUUGGACAAUGGGCGCAAGCCUGAUCCAGCAAUGCCGCGUGAGUGAAGAAGGCCUUCGGGUUGUAAAGCUCUUUCAGUCGAGAAGAAAAGAUUGUGACUAAUAAUCACAGUUCAUGACGGUAUCGACAGAAGAAGCACCGGCUAACUACGUGCCAGCAGCCGCGGUAAUACGUAGGGUGCGAGCGUUAAUCGGAAUUACUGGGCGUAAAGCGUGCGCAGGCGGUUUUGUAAGUCAGAUGUGAAAUCCCCGGGCUUAACCUGGGAACU